AUUGAACGCUGGCGGCAUGCUUUACACAUGCAAGUCGAACGGUAACAGGCCGCAAGGUGCUGACGAGUGGCGAACGGGUGGGUAAUGCAUCGGAACGUGCCCAGUCGUGGGGGAUAACGCAGCGAAAGCUGUGCUAAUACCGCAUACGAUCUAUGGAUGAAAGCGGGGGACCGUAAGGCCUCGCGCGAUUGGAGCGGCCGAUGUCAGAUUAGGUAGUUGGUGGGGUAAAGGCCUACCAAGCCGACGAUCUGUAGCUGGUCUGAGAGGACGACCAGCCACACUGGGACUAAGACACGGCCCAGACUCCUGCGGGAGGCAGCAGUGGGGAAUUUUGGACAAUGGGCGCAAGCCUGAUCCAGCAAUGCCGCGUGCAGGAAGAAGGCCUUCGGGUUGUAAACUGCUUUUGUACGGAGCGAAACGGUCUGGGUUAAUACCCUGGGCUAAUGACGGUACCGUAAGAAUAAGCACCGGCUAACUACGUGCCAGCCGCCGCCGUAAUAC
rnacentral:rRNA from 1 species